GGGGGGGGUGGGUCUAGACUGGACUAACUCUAUCAAAAGAUUUCCCAGCUAAGGAGAUGUUCCGUAUUUAAAUUUCUAAUGCUAGCAACCACGCAUGGUUCCAGGUCAGAUUCUACGAUUACGAAUGGUGACGUCAUGAUUUCGUGUCAAAACUUAUAUGAGGAUGUCCCUAUAGAUUGCUAAUAUAGUCUUAUGCGGGACAUCAGAUCUGGCGUCCAUGGUUACCCAGAUCUCCACAUGCUCACUUAAAUGAGCGAGAGGAGGACCCUCGCCAAAGUGAUCGGUUUAGAUCAUUGUAUAAAGUCCAUGGACGGGAGAUCUGCUACUACGCGUAUAAAUUUCUAUGCGUCAACCUUAUCUGAGCUAUUUGAUAUUUCCUACAGGUGGGCAAGUAAUUAAGAUCUGGUUUCAGGAAAUGGAACGGUGGAUUAUAUCGACCGCAUACAAAUUUUUAUAAGCACACCUUCGUAUGAUAUUCUCAUGCCCCCCGCCCCCACCCCCCCCGUCUCUCUCUAAUUAUUGGAUUCCCUGAUCGCCGAUUACGGGAACCGAUCGCGCAUCGCCGAAUCUAGGGGUUCUGCAGCUCUUUUUUCUUCAAACCCUAUCCGGAAUCCUUCGAUCGGAUGCGAUUUGGAGAAGGAUUGCUUCGGUCUUUUGAUCUCCAAGGAAUCAGUCCAUCUCCAAAUAUACAAAAAGGUCCACCAAUGGUCCUACUUUUUUGAGUCAGUCUUCUGUCUUUUUGUCGAUUUUUUGUGCAUUUUUUCUACCAUAGUUUCUAAAUUGGGGGAGGCAUCGAGACGGAAGAUAGAGAGAUUUAGGGAUGAGCGAAAACCCUAAUCCACCAGUGGACGUGAAGCCGGCGGCCUGCGGCCGCUUCUCGGGCUACUACAUCCAUAAGCCGGCGGCCGCCCACCAGGUCCUCCCGGUGGUGGCGAUGCCGGUGCAGAUCGACGGUGGCCGUGGGGGCGGCGGAGAGUCGCAUUUAAUCGCCGCCGCCGACACGCAGGCUCUUCAGCGGUACGAGGAGGCGGAGCACCACGGCGGUGGCGUCGGAGGCGGACAUGGGAUGGAGGAGGAUCGGGAUGUGGCCGUGGACGGCGAGGCGAUGGAGGCGGAUGGGGAGGCUGAUCCAGGCAAUCUAGGGGAUCCUCAAGCGGCGAUCGCCCCUCAAGUCGGUGGCAACCAGCUCACACUUUCGUUCCAGGGUGAGGUCUAUGUCUUCGACUCCGUCUCCCCCGAAAAGGUUCAGGCCGUGCUCCUGUUACUUGGGGGGCGUGAGAUGAACACGGCUUUAAAUUCUUUUCCAUCAUCUUCCCAUAUACAUAACAGGCGCAUAAAUUUUCCUCACAGAGUUGCAUCAUUGAUGAGGUUUCGUGAGAAGAGGAAAGAGCGGAACUUUGACAAGAAAAUACGAUACAAUGUUCGCAAAGAGGUUGCCCUAAGAAUGCAACGAAACAAGGGUCAAUUCAUAUCGUCCAAACCGAAGCCUGAAGAUUCAUCAUCUGGCAUUACCAGUUGGGAUACCACCCAACAAUGGGGUUCACCAGAGAAUCGGCCACCAGCAGCAUCAGCAUGCCAUCAUUGUGGCAUUAGUGCAAAAUCUACACCAAUGAUGCGCCGUGGACCUGAGGGACCCAGGACCUUAUGCAAUGCAUGUGGGCUAGUGUGGGCAAAUAAGGAUUCUUCGUCUACAAGGAUUCAGAAGUAUUCUAUGACAUCUUUCUCCUUCUGGAUAGUUUAUGUAGCAGCUGGCAUCUGACAGGUUCUGGAUAAAUUGAUGCUGUUAUAGGGAACAAUGAGGGAUCUUUCGAAAAAUCCACCUUCAGCCAUUCCAAAUGCCUUAACAGAACCAAAAGAAGGGAAUUCUGCUGAAUCAGGAGCUGCACAACCCCUUGUGAUCGCUGCCAAUGGCCAUGACUCAUAAUGGGAGGUCCUGUGCGUUUGGUAUUAGGGCUUCCCGAAGGGAGAGUUGAACAUGUAGUGGGGAACUCGUCCCCGAAUGGUUUCUCAAGAGCGUAGAAUAUUAUCAUACAUGUAUGUACCAUAUUAUUAAAGUAUUAGAUAAAGAUUUUUCUCUUUCUUUUUGGUGAUUUUCGAGACUGCUACCAUUACUGCAAUUUAAUUGUCAUGGGAAGAGCCGCAGUCCCAUGUCUAAUUUAGUCAAACUGAUAUGUGAACCUUCACUGUGUUUAUCUCCAGUUGAAAACUGAUGUACUGAAUCUGUAAUUCCAUUCAUAAACUCCGCGGAUUGCCA